GUCUAGUGUGUUGGUGUUAGUGUUUGUGUGCUUGUCACCUCUCGCUUUCAGCCAUCACCACUGGCUAGCAGCAAUGUGAAAAGGGAAGGAAUUUUUAUGUUUUCCCCUGCCAGUACAUAGCCUCUCCACAACAAGUCCUAUGCGAUGCCUCCACGUGGAAGCAGACGGAUACUGGGUAGCUAUUGGUCCCAGGCUAAGUUCGCAAGGGCGCAUGGGAAGAUUAGUCUCCAAAGUUUUUGCAAGCACCUUAUCUAGGAGAGAAAAAUGAUCACAAUCCCGAUUUAAUAUAAGACUUGAUUGAUUUCAGUGGUAACUGGUAAUAGGAAUGAACUUUUGUCCAUUGUCUGUCUUUGUCAUUUUUGUGAAAACUCACACUUUCAUCUUCAUCGGGCCAAAAUCAACCAAAGUUGGCAGAGUAUCCUUGGAUCAACUGGAGCAGGAAAGGUGACCCUUGUGUGGAAUUAUCCUCAGCGGAAGAAAGUUGAGGCUGACCAGGAUCCUGAAGUGAGGAGGAGUCCCUCUCCCAUUAAACUGCAUUCAUGAGCAGAAAGUAUGAAUUACAAUGGAGGACCAGGGUCAAUCAAUAUAAGAAGAGUCCAUGUCCUGGCUGUGUUUUUAGGCAACAUUUUUAAAAGUGCAGAGGAAGGUUAAGACUGACAAGGAAUUCUAAGGAUGGAGUCCCUCUCUCAUUCCACUGCGGUAAUGAGGAG